CCUUCUUAACCAACGCUUCCAAUAUUAGAGCUAAUCAUAGGUAUCAAUAGUUUCUUAACUCUUUAUUAAGCAUAAAACUCUCAGACUCUCAUGUGUGUGUUCUAAGAAACUAUUGAUAACUAUGAUUUUGACCUAAUACUUGGGACGUACCUGUACUGAAUCAGGAUAAGAUUUACAUGUCUUCUGUAUUCGAUUGAGACCUGGACAUGGUUUUUGUUUACAACAAAAAACAAGAAACAUGGUAAGGUUGUGUCACGGAAGAGCACUAAUACUAUAAUCUGUAUAGAAAUUAAAAUAGUCUUUUUGAUCCAACAAAUUGUCCUAUUAAGCAAGUGUUUACAGUAACGAAGUGUUGAUACAUCCUAAACUUAAGAAACAAGACAUGUGGAGUUCUCUUUUGAUUUAAUGGUUUAACUACCGAGUUUUUUUCAGCCAGAAUCAGAAAGGGUAGGAUACUAUUACUUCACAGUUGCAAAUUUAUAAAACUGACCAACUGGUCACUGUUAAACUUACAAGAAUAAGAAGCUAAUCUUGGGGAGCUAUAUCUUUCAGGUAAGCACAUGCACAGCUUGAGCUUGAGAUUGCGGAAUUCAACCACAGACAUUCAUGCCUAGACACAAGACAGAGAUUCU
rnacentral:lncRNA from 1 species